UUUUUUUUUUGACAGGCAGAGUAGACAGAGAGAGACAGAGACAAAGGUCUUCUUCCGUUGGUUCAAACCCCAAAUGGCUGCCACGGCUGGCGUGCUGCGCCGAUCCGAACCCAGGAGCCAGGUGCUUCCUCCUGGUCUCCCAUGCCGGUGCAGGGCCCAAGCACUUGGGCCACCCUCCACUGCCUUCCGGGGCCACCGCAGAGAGCUGGACUGGAAGAGGAGCAACCGGGACAGAAUCCAGCGCCCCGACCGGGACUAAAACCCGGUGUGCUGGCACCGCAGCCAGAGGAUUAGCCUAGUGAGCCAUGGCGCCAGCCCCACUGGUUCACUUUCCAAGUGGUGCAACACCAGGGCUGGGCUAAGCCAAAACCAGCUAUCUGGAACUCCAUCCAGGUCUCCCACAUGGGUGGCAGGGGCACAAGCACAUGGGCCAUCUUCUAUUGCCUGUCUUGGCACAUUAAUAAGGGGCUGGAUUGGAAGCAUAGCAACUGAGAUUGGCAGUGGUACACCAAUACAGGAUAACAGUAUUGCAGGCUUAGCCCACUGCACCACAACCCUGAUUGCUCUUCUUUAUUUGUUUCAAAAUAUAAAAAGAAGUAAACAUAGCUUUUAAUAGCCCUUCCUCCAAAGGAGAGAAAGAGAAACAAAUCAUAUAAUGAACAUUUACUGGGCCUUGAACUAUGCUAGUUGCUCUAUAUACAUUUCCCCUAUGAACCUUAAACAGUCUUGUGAAAUAGAUGUUGUUAUGCCCAAUUUUCAGACAGGGAAACUGAUAGAAAAAUAUAUAAUCAUGAACAAGUUCUUUAUGUAGUAAACAACACAGCUGUGAUUGAAACUACCACAUAAUAGUAAUAAGUGCUGGUUUACUGCUUAGAAUCUACACUGCUUAAUUUCUUAACUGGAAAAACAUGAAAGGUGUGGUCAUAGAAAAGAGUAGACCUUGGCUUGCUUACCGUUAAAAUACCUAAGAAUUUUACCAUGUAGUUCCUCUCUUAAAAUACACUUACAUUACUAAAGUAGCAUAUUGAAGCAUAACAUACUACUCUGUUGUUCAAAAGUGACUCAAAGAGUGGUUUGUCCAAGUGGGCAUUGAGAGACAUUACCAUAUAUAGACAAGGUCCUUUUGGAUGGAUGAUCUGCCCUAUCACACUGCUGUUUUCUCUGGCCUCAACUUAUUCUUUUCUUCCUUUCCAUUGCUCAUAUAUGAAAACAAAUCCAUUAAUUUUCUUUCUCUUCUCAAGUACAGUCUCUUCCAAAUACUGAUAACUGUCAAAUCUUUUUCUAUUUCCGGUUGCCCCCCUCAAUUCCAUAUGGGUAUAGCAGCCUGAUUUCAUCUUUGUGGAUACCCUGAAGUUUCAAAGCCAUAUCCUUUCUUUUAAAAGUUUAUUUCAUUUUUGGGGGGAGGAAGGCAUACACAUACACACGCACAGACACACAGAGCGAGAGAGAGGGAGAGAGAGAGCGCGCACGAGCGUGCAUGUUUGUUCUUGCUGGUUUACUCACCAGAUGCUCACAAGGCUGGGGCAGAAGUGUAACCAGAUCUCCCCUGUGGGUGGCAGGAACCCAAUUAUUUUAGAUACCCCUCUCCCCCCAAGAAAGCUGGAACUGUACAUUGAAUGCAGGUACUCCAUCAUGAGAUGCAGACAUUUUAACCACGAGGCUAUAAAUAUCUGUUCCCUCUUUGAGUUAAUAGAAAAAGUUUGAAAGCUACUGCUCAGAGGAAUUUUCAUACAUGCCCAGAGGAAAUAUGUGAUGGUACAGCAGACAAUAAUAACUUUUCUUUGUGAUGUUGACUUUUGGGACCUUAGCAAGUAUCGAUUAUUGAUGUGACUAUCCAUAUCCUUCAGUUGACAGCAUUCCCCAUGGUUGCCUGGAUUUUCAAUUUAUUUAAUCAGUGUCUUCCAUAAAAGUUUCCUAUAGAGGGCAGCAGAGCCAUAGCAGUGAGCUGUGUUCAUAACCUACAUUUUUCAGGAAGUGUGAAGGAAAUUGGAGUUAGGUGAGCUUUGUUAUAUAAUUUUUAUGUACUUAGUAACCUUUUUGCAAAUAUGAACUAAUAGGCGUAAUAAAUACCAGAUAACUAAAGUGAGGUUCAGGCUUUUGAUAAGCUGAACAACAGAAACUAUCAGGCACAGAUAAAUGAUCUGAAAAUAAUCCAUAGUUUUAAGGAGAAAGCAAGUGUGAUUUUCAAAUUUGCAAUAUGGAUUCACUGUUAUAAAACAGAAGUUUUCUUUGUAUUCUUACCAGUACUGAUAGAAAAAAAAUGAUUCAGUAAUUAAUAAAUGAUGGAACUGUGGAAAAAUUUAACAAAACAAGAAUAAACAAUAUUUUUUAUUCUUACAAGGAGAUAUUAUCACACUUUAUUAUUUUUUUUUUAUUUUUUGACAGGCAGAGUGGACAGUGAGAGAGAGACAGAGAGAAAGGUCUUCCUUUUGCCGUUGGUUCACCCUCCAAUGGCCGCCGCGGCUGGCGCACUGCUGCCGGCGCACCGCGCUGAUCCUAUGGCAGGAGCCAGGUACUUCUCCUGGUCUCCCAUGGGGUGCAGGGCCCAAGUACUUGGGCCAUCCUCCACUGCACUCCCUGGCCACAGCAGAGAGCUGGCCUGGAAGAGGGGCAACCAGGACAGAAUCCGGCGCCCCAACCGGGACUAGAACCUGGUGUGUCGGCACCGUAAGGCAGAGGAUUAGCCUAGUGAGCUGCGGCGCCGGCCAAUUAAUCACACUUUAGAAAGUGAACUGACAAAGUCUUAAAGCAUUUUUUAAUUUAAUGAUGAUAGUUGUGAUUCUGUUGCUCAAUUUUUUAUUGUAAAAUAUACAUCAUAGAAAAGUUUCCACUUUGACCUUUUUUUUUUUUUAAGAUUUAUUUAUUUAUUUAUUUGAGAGUUAGGGUUACAGAGUGAGGGAGACAGUGAGAAAGGUCUUCUAUCUGCUGGUUCACUCCCCAAAUGGCUGCAGUGGCUGGAGCUGGGCGAAUCCGGAGCCAGGAGCUUCCUCCAGGUCACCCAUGCAGGUGCAAGGGACCCAAGCCCUGUGGCCAUCCUGUACUGCUCUCCCAGCUCAUAGCAAAGAACUAGAAUGGAAGAGGAACAACCCGGACACGAAUUGGCACACAUAAUGGGAUGCCGGUGCCACAGGUAGGGCUGUGUAGCCUACCACGCCACAGAGCCAGCUCCCACCUUGAGUGUUUUAAUGUGUACAAUUCAGUGUUAGUAAAUACAUCUCUAAUGCUGUGCAACCAUUAUCUCUUUCCAUCUUCCAAAGCUGAAGCUCCAUACCCUGUAACUCCCAUUUCUCCCUCUCUUCCACUCCUGUCAGUCACCAUUCUACUUUCUAUAAUUUUUUAUACUAUAGCUGAUUCAUUGGAGUAGUAUCAUAUAAUAUGUCUUUUUUAAAAAAUUAUUUAUUUAUUUAUUUUGAAAGAAUUACAGAAAGAGAGAGAGAGACAGAGAUCAAUCAGUAUUCUACUUGCUGGUUCACUCCCCAGAUGGCCACAAUGGCCCGUGCUGAACCAGGCUGAAGCAAGCAGCCAGGAGCUUCAUUUGGAUCUCCAUGUGGGUGGUAGGCACCCAAACAAUCGGGCCAUCUUCUGCUACUUUUCCCAGGUGUAUUAGGAGGGAGCUGGAUCAAAAGUCUUCUUGUGGCUGGCUUAUUUCACCAAACAUCAUGUCCUCAGGAGUCAUUCGUGUUAUGAGAAUUUCCUUCCUUUUUAAGGCUAUUAAUGGUAUUCUGUUGUAUGUUUAUAAUACAUUUUACUUAAUUUGUGGCCUGAAGUGGAGUACCCUGGAAAAUUAUAUUGAGGAGAGCAUGUGUACUGAUGUGUUUGGAUAUAGGGUAUAUGUCUGUUAGAUAUAGUUGAUUGAUUGUGUUUCAAUUCUCUGUUUACUUACUUUCUGUCUGAUUUGUCUAUAUUGAGAGUAGGGUAUUGAUUUCAUUAACUUAUUCUAGAACUGUCUUUUUUAACCAUUAAGUUCUACCAGUUAUGUUCACACACUUUAAGGCCUCCUAUUAGGUACCUUUCUGUUCCUGCUGCAUUGAACCUUUUAUUAAUAUAUAAUUAAAAGCUAUUUUUCUGACAUUUUAUAAAAGAUUUAUUUUAUUUAUUUGAAAGAGUUACAGAGAGAGGUGGACACACACACAGACACACACACACAGGUCUUCCAUCCACUGGUUUACUCCCCAAAUGGCCAAAACAGCUAGAGCUGAGCUGAUCCAAAGCCAGCAUCCAGGAGCUUCUUCCUAGUCUCCCAUGUGAGUACAGAGGUCCAAGGCUUUGGGUCAUCCUCCCCUGCUUUCCUAGGCACUUUAGCAGAAAGCUGGUUCAGAAGUAAAGCUGCCAGGACUUGAACCAGCACCUGUAUCGGAUAUCUGCACCGCAGUUUGUGGCUUUAACCUGUUGUGCCACAGCUCUGGCUCCUUUCUGACGUUUUGAUAGUCACUUCUGCUGUCUCAUGGUUACGAUGUACAUGGAGUAUCUUUUUCCAUCCUUUCAUGAACAAAUCUUGGAUGUAAAGUGAGACUAAUGUAGACAACUUAGAGUUGGAUCCUGUUUUAUUGUUGUUGUUUUUUAAUCCAUCCCAAUCCCUGUCUUUUUGUUUAUAGAGUUUUUUAAAUCUAUCUAAAUUUAAAUAACUUCUCCUGCAGAGGAACUUACUGCAUUUUGCUGUUUAUUUUCUAUACACUUUCUUGCUUUUUUUCUCUUGUUUCUUGCAUUAUGAAAUUUUUAUCAUGAAAUAUUUGAAAUCCUUUUUCAUUUCUUUUUGUGUAUAUUUUAUAACUGUUUUCUUUGUGUAAUCAUUGGGAUUACACUUAACAUCCUAAAAUUUUAAUACUGCACUUUGAAUUUAGACCAAGUUAACUUUAAUAACAUGCUGAAAACUGCUUCUUAACAGCUCCAUCCACAACCUUUCAGGCUGUUGAUGUUACAAAACAGUGUCUUUUUGCAUUGCAUGUUCUAUAUUAUAAACUAAUAAUUCUUUGACAUGUAUCAUUCUCUCAAAUGAUGUAGGAAACAAUCUGUGGAAUUACAAGUCAACAUUCUAAUACUACUUUUUGGACUGAUAAUUUUAAAAAAAAUGUUACUUUCUUAAAUCAGGUAGAAAACAAAAAAGUAUUGUUACAAUAAUACUAGCUUUUAUAUUUCCUUAUAUUUACCUUUAUGGAGAUCUUUAUUUUUCAGUUAGCUUUUAAUUACCAUCUAAUGUCCUUUCAUUUGAACCUACAGGACUCCCCUGAGCCUAUUUCACAUGGCAAAUGUACUGAUCCAUUAGUUUUUGUUUAUCUAGGAAUGUCUUAAUUUCUUCCUUACUUUUGAAAGACAGUUUUGCCAGCUGCAGUUAGUAUUCUUGGCUCAGGUUUUCGUUUUUGUUUUUUCCCUUUACAAUGUGGGCCCAUUACCUCUAGCCUUCAAAGUUUCUGGUAAGAAAUCUGCUGCUAAUCUUACUGAAAUACCUUCUAUUUAACAAAUGAUUUCUCUCUUCCUGCUUUCAAGAUUGUUUGUCUUUUGAAAAUUUGAUUAUAACAUGUCUGGGUGUGGAUCUCUUUGAGUUUAUUUUGCUCUGAGUUUGUUGAGCUUGUUGGAAUAUUUUAUUCAUGUCUUUCUUCAAGUUUGAGAAGUCUCCAGCUACUCUUUUUUUUUUUUUUUAAGAUUUAUUUAUUUAUUUGAAAUGCAGAAUUACAGAGAGGCAGAGAGAGAGAGAUCUUCCAUCCGCUGGUUCAUUCCCCAGAUGGCCACAACAGCUGGAGCUACACUGAUCCAAUGCCAGGAGCCAGGAACUUCUUUCGGGUCUUCCACGCAAGUGCAGGGGCCCAAGGAUUAGGGCCACCUUCUACUGCUUUCCCAGGCCAUAGCAGAGAACUGGAUUGGAAGUGGAGCAGCCAGGACAUGAACUGGUGCCCUUAUGGGAUGCCGGCACUGCAGGCAGCAGCUUUAUCUGCUACGCCACAGAGCUGGCCCCUCUCGCCACUGUUUAAAUAUUCUUUCUCUCUUUCUUAUAAGCCCAAGAUGUGUAUGUUAGUCUGUUUCAUGAUCUGUUAGUUUGCAAGCAGUUUUCUUCAGUUCUUUUCCUUCUAUUCCUCAGAAUCAAUAAUAUCUAUUAUCUUGUCUUUAAAUUUACUGAUUCUUUUCUUCUGCUUUCUGAAAUUUACCUUUGAAUUCAUCUACUGAAUUAUUCAUUUUCAUUGAUAGGCUUUUCAGCUCCAGAUUUUAUUUUUGACUUCUUUUUAGUUUUCCUGUCUCCUUGUGGAUAUUGAAAUUCAUACACUACUUUAUGCCUUUCUUCAUAUCUUCCUUUACUACUUUGAACAUCUUUAAAGUGAUGGUUUUAAAGUCCUUGUCUAGAAAAUCUAGUAUCACAUCUUUCAUAGACAGAUUCUGUUGAUUUAUUUUCUUCUGUGAGUGGGCUGUACUUUCUGUGCCUUGUUUUUUUUUUUUUUUUUUUUUGAAAGUUGGUUGGACAUUUGAAUCUAAUAAUGUGGUCAAUUAUUAAGUCCAAAUUGUCUCCUUCCAAGGGAUUUUUUUGUUUUGUUUUGUUUUGUUUUCACUGUUUUUCUUUAAUCUAUUUUAUUAUUGUAGGCUGUUUCUGUGCAAAUAUCCGCCUGAGAUAAUUUAAGGUCUUCUCAUUCUUUUUUGAGCCUGCACUUUUCCCUUCAUGAAUCCACAGAUACUGUUUGUUUAUUGGGAAGGGAGGAAGAGAGAGAGAGAGAUUGAUCUAUCCAUCUUGCAUUUGUUGGUUCACUUUCCAUAUACCCAUAACAGGCCGAAACAAAGACCUUGGAACUUGAUUCAGGUUUUCCAUAUGGGUGGCAGGAACCCAAGUACUUGGGCUAUCAAUUCUUGCUUCCCAGAUUACACAUGAGCAAGGAGCUGGAAUGAAGAGUUGAACCAGAACUUGAACCUAGGUACUGUGAUAUGAAAUGCAGAAUCAACUGCUAUGCCAAAAAGCUGCCCCAGUAUUUACUUUUGAAUGUCUUGAUCUUUAUUUUCUGGAUCCCAAAAGAGAGGAAAGAAAAAAUUCAAGGAUGGGAAAAGAAAGCACAUUAGCUCUUUAAAUCUCCUGAGAGUCAUUUUGCUGGAGCGGGAAGGUCUUGCCACAGUGUUGGGGGGUGGGAGGGGUGUAACAACAGUGACUACUUGCCUUUCUCUGCACCUCUGUGAUCAGAAGCAUAAGUCAGGGAUUAAAGCCAUCAUUCUCUAUAUUUUGAAAAUGAGGUCCUUUUUGCCCACUAUGGUUCUUUUAAGGUACAUGCAAGUUGUUCCUGGGAACACACGCACAACUGCCUGCCAUGAGGCUGAUCAUGAUAAGGGGUAGCUGCUGUUGUGCUGAAACUUGAAAUUUACCAAAAUUAGUUAAAUUUAUUGUUCAGGUCUUCCCCUGAGAGCCACAAACCUUCACUAGGCCCUAGGGAUCCAAACCAGUUACAUAGAACAGAUUCUGCCAUUGUAAUUAUUUUCUAGGUGGGGACAGAGAUUCCUUAUAGUUCUUGCUCUGUCAUCUGCCUAGAAUCCUCUGAUAACAUACUUAUAUGUGAGGAUUGGAAGCGUGCAUUUUAGAAGCCCUCUUUGAUGUUAAUUAAGUUUGUAUUUUUAAAAAAGUGACAAAGUAAAGGGAAUACUGAAGUUUUAUUUUUCUUUGUAAAGAUUUAUUUAUUUACUUGGAAGGUGGAGAGUUACAGAGAGGCAGAGGCAGAGAAAGAGAGAUAUCUUCCAUUGACUGAUUCAAUCCCCAAAUGGCUGCUGUAGCCAGAACUGGGCUGACCCAAAGCCAAGAGCCAGAAGUGCCUUCUGGGUCUCCCAUGUGGAUGCAGGGUCCCAAGCACUAGGGCCAUCUUCUACGGCUUUCCCAGGCCAUAGCAGAGAGCUGGAUCAGAAGUGGAGCAGCCAGGACUCAAACCAGUGCCCAUAUGGGAUGCUGGCACUGCAGGCAGUGGCUUUAUCUGCUGUGUCACAGUGCCGGGCCCAAAACUAAAGAUUUUUUUUUAUAUUUAUUCAUUUAUUUGAGGUCUUCCAUCUGCUGGUUGACUCCCCAGAUGGCUGCAGAGCUAUGCCAAUCUGAUGCUAGGAGCUAGGAGCUAGGAGCUUCUGGGUCUCCCACAUGGUGCAGGGGCCCAAGGACUCCACCACCUUUCCAGGCCCCAGCAGAGCACUAGAUAGGAGAUGGAGAAGGUGGGACUCGAACUGGCACCCAUAUGGGAUGCCAGCACUGUAAACAGUUGCUUUAUUCACUAAGCCACAAUGCUGGCCUCAAGACUGAAGAUUUUAAUUGUGCUUUUCAUGUAAGUUUAUUUUAGAGAUUACAUUAAACAUAGAAACAUUGCAUUUAGAAAAACUAAUUCAUAUUCCAUUGUGUUCUCAAGGUAGAAAAGAGAAAUGUUGAAGAAUUUAUCGAAGAGUCUCUGCACUUUUGUCAUUAUUUUAUAAUUCAUGUGCUGUGUACUAUUUAUAAUAUCACAUAGUAGCGAUUUUUGGCUUUUAAUCUUUUAAAGAAAAUGAGCAUUAUAUGUACCAAAUACUAUUUGUAUCAUCUGUGCCAGAAAUUUUACCUUUCCAACAGCCCACUUAUUGUUUGGCUGAACUUUAGCUUAUGAGAUAGAACAUAGGUUUUGUAAACUGCCCUUUUGCUUGGCAUAAAUCUUCUUCCUCUUUUACCUUGUCAUCCCAUUUCUCUUCAUUGCUUUUUUUUUUCUUUUACUUUCUUUCAUUUCCCAAAUACUUCUGUUUUCUGAUAUAUGAAGUUCUAGUAUAGGGAAAGAUUAGAAAAUAUUGUUACAACCAUAUAAUAUUUAAAAGUUAUGAUUUAAUUCACCAUAGGUCUGACAUUUUUUUUUGUUUUUUAAGAUUUAUUUAUUUUAUUUGAAAGUCAGAAUUAUACAGGGAGAGAAGGAGAGGCAGAGAGACAGAGAGAGGUCUUCCAUCCGCUGCCACCUACUGAAAAGGAGAGUUUAGAGAGUUAGAUUAGCCUUAUCUGCCUGUUAAACCAAAACGUAAUUACUCUUCAGAAUAACAUAAAGAAAUCUAAAAUUUCUAAAAUGUUGUCAUUCACAGUGUCCAAAAUAUAAUUCACACAUUAAUAUACAGAUAUAUAUAAUACCUGUUGAAGUGAAAUGGACACUAUGGGAAACGGUGACUUGAUCAGCAUAGCCCUGACUGUUAGUGAACAACUUAAUACAUUAUCCCUCUUAGUAGUUUUUUUUGUCUGUUCUACUUAAUAUGACUGGUUUAAUUCUGUAAUUAAUACACAGUUAUUCUUAAGUGUUGAUAUUUAACUGAAAUGUGAUCUCUGUUAAACAUAAGAGUGGGAAUAAGAGAGGGAAGAGAUGUACAAUUUGGGACAUGCUCAGGCUGACUUGCCCCAAAUGGUAGAGUUAGAAACAUACCAGGGGACUCCAAGUCAAUCCCAUCAAGGUGGCAUGUACCAAUGCCAUCUCACUAGUCCAAGUGAUCAAUUUCAGUUCACAAUUGAUCAUAAUGAAAGGACUAAGAGUCAAAGGGAGCACAUAAACAAGUCUAGUACCUGCUAACACUAACCGAUAGAAUAAAUAAAGGGGAGAGUGAUCCAACAUGGGAAGUGAGAUACUCAGCAGACUCAUAGAAUGGCAGAUGUCCUAAAUAGCACUCUGGCCUCAGAAUCAGCCCUAAAGGCAUUCGGAUCUGGCUGAAAAGCCCAUGAGAGUAUUUCAGGCAUGGAAAGCCAAGACACUCUGGCAAAAGAUCUCUGCGAGUGAGAUCCCAGUGGAAAGAACAGGUCUUCAAAGAAGGAGGUACCUUUCUCUGAAGGGAGGAGAGAACCUCCACUUUGACUAUGACCUUGUCUAAACAAGAUAAGAGUCGGAGAACUCAAGGGGCUUCCAUAGCCUUGGGAACUCAUGACUGGAGCAUAGGGAGAUUACUGAUGCCAUAGACAGGAGUGUCAAUUGGUAAAGUCAACUACAGGAGUCACUGUGCACUUACUCCUCAUGUAGGAUCUCUGUCCUUAAUGUGCUGUGCAUUGAGAUUUAAUGUAACGAGUACUCAAACAAUAUAUUUCACUUUGUGUUUCUAUGGGGGUGCAAACUAUUGAAAUCUUAAUGCAUACUAAACUGAUCUUCUGUAAAAAAAAAAAAAAAAAAAAAAGAAA